rnacentral:lncRNA from 1 species
AUGGCUGUGAUUGCCCACCAUAGCAAGCGCAGGCUGUCUGAGCAGGCCAUCCUUGGAUGCCCAAAUGGCUCGGCAUCAGGACUCAGCCCACCCUUGGGUGAAGGGCACCCGUCUCCCUUUGCCGAUCACUGUCCCCAUGAAGAAGAGCUGGGUCUCUUUCCUGGGUGCUGGCUGAGAGAGGUGGGUCCCAGUGCCCGGCUGUGCCGCCUGCGCACUGCUCCGGCACCAGGCGCCCCUCCUCAGCGGCUGUGCCAGGGUCGCCAUGGCAACGGCAUAAUGGAUUUGCCCUUAUUCAGUCCCAGAGGCCGCAUCGAAGCGCGACGCAAAAUUUGCCGGAGCCUGAAUUCCUUUCAAGUCAUGGCUCGCGUGUCAGGAAGCAAGUUGAUGCGCAGGCAGCGAAUCACUGAGAGAUCAGGAGCCAUGCAUGUUCUUCACAUGGGUUUGUGCAGGCACACAUCUCACCACCAGCGUUUUUCCAAGGGACAUAGUUUGGCAACCUAUUGACCUUGGGAUGCUCCUCCAGGCAGAGGAACACCAGACCGAGGUGUCAGCAAGGUUGUGGGAAGCUGAAAAUGGGUAUCUUCUCUAGGAAGCAUUGAACAACCUCAGCCACAGACCUCACUACCAGUUCUACCUGUGCUUGGUCUUUCAGAGUAUCAACUGGUGUAGAUAUUUUUUUAGUGUUUUGUUGUUGUUGUCUGUUUGUUUUGUGCUGUUUGGUUUGUUUGUUGUUGUUGUUUUCUUCUGGAAACUUUGAAAACUGGCUGUUGUUUGCAAGAUCCCAUAUCUGUAGAGCAAGCCAGCAAGUUGCUUCAUUGGUAGAUUUAUGUUUGGAUCUUCAACGACUUUCAGAUAGAGCAAGUAGUGUAUAUUACAGUGAUGCCCAGAACAAAAACAUACCCACGCUUCCAGUGUUAUUUCCCCCUCCAAAGUUGUGUAGUGAUUUUAUCAAACUCUCUGAAAACAGUAAACUGCAACAAUUGCAGAGGGUGCAUUCAGAUAGAUCGGUAUUUUACAGGAGUGUAUCCACCAUGCUCUUUUUCCUUUCCCCCCCCCCCUCCCUUUUACCCUGCGCAGUCUCAAAUUUAACAAAUUACGAUGUUGCUGUUUCAUUUGGCACUGGUAGAAGGAGGAAGAGGGUGCACUUGGCUGAGAUGAGACACCCCAUAGCUGCAGAAAAUAGGUGCAAAAUAGAUGUAAAAAUAGAUGUAAAAAUAUGGAAGAAAAAAAAAGUUGUUUCCUCAUGCAAACAUAGUAGGCACUCAUAUUUUAAAACAAGUUCAGUUCCAGAGUUGGGAAGAAAAUUUUUAUUACAUAAAAUUGCCACAGGUUUUGCAAACAACUAGAAAACUUCACAACUAGCUAUCUUGCAUCUAAUACAUUUUAAAUUAAAAAUCCAAUGUGAAAAUGUGCCCUGAAAUUAAUGACCAUUGUAUGCCUGGCAGUUUAUCUUACCAUUUGUAAUGCAAUAAAGGAGGAUCAGAUAAACA